AAUUUGUUCUGGCUGCGUCUUUCCCCGGUGAUGCUGAUGAGGUAGUGCGAGUGAGUGAGGGAUUUCCUUUCUUCGUUCAGAAAGCUUCUGCAAGAAAGACAAUGUCAGAAGUGAUCCAAGAAAUCCGUAGUUAAAUUUCUUCAGAUGACAAGUUGAACAAAUCCUCGGGCUAUUCAGCACUCCUUCAAUUUCAGCAACAUUCUUGCGCCAACCCUUCUUCGCUUCAAUCCCUCGCUCACUCCUCCCAAUCGAUAAUCUCUUCCAUCGUCUCCGACUUUUCUCACGACCACGAUGAAGAAAUAGUCGCACAAGCCUUGAAGUGUUUGGGCUUCAUGCUUUAUCAUCCCUCCGUCGUUUCCGUCUUUGGAGUGGAUGAUGCCAAUUUGGUAUUGGGCGCAUUGCCCAAACUUAUUACCACCACACAGUUAAAGGCUAGUGUGAUAUUAUUUUUACUCUUGUUAAGUGUUUUCACUUGCUCUACAGAGUUUUUAUGUGUGAUAUUUACAUUAACUUUGUUAAAUAUUGCUGCAGUCUGCUUGAAAUUUAGGGUUAUGGUGCGUGUCUGUCCAAUAUUUAGGUGCAUCGUUUCUUGUUAUUCACUUCCCUUCUUUGUUACGGGCAAUUGUUCACGCCCUAGACAAUCCUAUGGAUUCUUUGUCCACAACAUUUGAAGCUACCCAGGCUGUAACGAGGCUUUCUGGUCAAUUAAGGGAGCAAAUGAAAAGGCUCAUCCCAUAUAUGGGCCCCUCCAAUAUACAGGAGAUUUAUCAGCCCAGAUAAGAGGGAGAGGGAUGCCUCAGAAAGGUGCCUGCUGAAAAUCAGAUCUACAGUCAUUCCUCCUUCUUUGGAUCUCUCUAAGGCUAUUGUCAAAGAUAUGAAGAUAAAAUUGCUAAAUGGGAUGAAGGGUUUGCUAGACAAUGGUAUGAAGACUCAAGCUAUUCGUGCAUGGGGAUGGUUUGCCAGAAUGCUUGGAUCCCAUGCUUUAAGGAAUAUACAUAUGCUGAAAAUUCCUGAACGUACAUUUACAGAUCUUGACCCUCAAGUUCAAAUUGCUACACAGGUUGCUUGGGAAGGUCUUAUUGAUGCUCUUGUUCACUGCCCAAUAUUAGUUUCUGUAAAAAAAUGCAUCAGCAGAGGAGAGUUUAUUGGAGAAACAACAUUCAUUAGGAAGGAAAAAUUGUGAUGAUCAGACGAAUGGAUUUUCUAAAAGCAUAAAGCUAAUAAUGACUCCACUGAUCGGCAUCAUGCCCAGUAAAUGUGAUAUAUCAGUUCAUUCAUCCUGCUUCAACACUUGGCGUUAUUUGCUACAUAAGCUUGUUAUCUCUAUCAAUGAAACAUCGAUGAUAAAAACAGUUUUUGAGCCUUUACCUAAAGCAAUAUUUCAGAAUGGACCUGAUAGCAAGAACAUCUGCUUAUGGAACCUGGGCCUCGAUAUGCUUAGUGAUAGUAUUUCACAUAAGCGUGGGGAUGUCCUUUACCAGUCAACUGGCCCAGUAAGCCACAGAGUCUCUGAUAAUGGACCUUCUCUAUCUGGAAAAUGCUCUUGGAAGCAACACCUAAUCAGAUGGAUGCCUAGGAAUAUCAAUCAAUUGGACUUUUAUCUUAGUAUGAUUUUCCAUCUCAUUCAUCAAGCAUCUAGGCCAACUGUCACUUAUGAUCGUAGAAAUCAUGUGUAUGAUACUGCCUUGAAGCUAUUUAUUUAUAUUCUGAAAGGAGUCAAACUGGACGUGGAAAGUCCAUCUACCAAUUAUGAUGGUAUUAUGUAGUGCUUGAACUCAUUAUUAACAUUCAUCAAGAAAGUAUGCGAAGAUUUAUUCUUAGAAGUUGGUGAAAAUUAUGAUGUUUAUUGUACUUCCAUGCAGUUUAUAGAUGCUAUCACAAAGGAGUUAGGUCCUUCAAUCUUGGGAUCUCCUCUGUACAAGUUUUCUUUAGAUCUAAAGUACAUUGAGGACAUGCAAUCGGUUGAUAAUAACAAACUUCUAAAAUUUCUGAGUCAGUUGUAUUUCUUAUAUGGAUGAGGUUUCUCUAUUGGUUUAUUUAAUAGCACUGUACUUCCACAUGAUUGUUCAGUUAACAAUGAAAUCCCAUCAAUCGGACCAUGUUUCAUAAGGGAUGUGUGAAUAUUUUAAAUCUAUAUUUUAUUCAAGUGAUCCCCUGGAAAAUCUCCUCACCAGUAUUGGCUUCUUGUGCAGACAUGUUCAACCAAUUUACUUAAGCAUAUGGAUAUCAUUAGCUCAGAGUCUGAACUACUGUGUAUGUGAUGCAAACUGCAAGUCACUACAGGAAGCCUUGUCUGACAGCACUGUAUAUUUUUUCCAUAUGCCAUCUUUUAAUUUACCCCAUCAUGGCACAUUCUGAAGUUCCAAGAAUGACCUUGUCAAAUGAUAGUGCCUCUUUGGAUAAAUAUCCCGUAUCACCAGAAAGAAAGGUGAAGUUUGAACUGGUUAUUCAAACCUGGAAAUCACUUUAUGGAUCUCUUAGUGCUUUGGGCUUUGGAUGCUCAUCAGCCACCAAUUUCUCUGGGGAUCUGUGCAUGUUGUUAAGCAACUGCCUUGAUGAAAAUGGUGGCAUGGUUGAGAGCGGCACUGAUUUUGAGUCAACAUGCAAUGAUGUGGAUCAUGGCGUUCUUCAUUUAUCUGGCAAUUUCUUGAUAUGCAUUCUAGAACAGAUUCAGACUUUGGAAUUAGUUACUGAGUUGCGCAGAAGUAAAUCUGACCGUGAUAUCAAAAUAUUUUGCUGCAUAAAGAACUGCUUAAAAUUUGUUGCCAAGUAUAUGAAUUUUUUGAGGAUAAAGAUGGUUAGAGAUCCACUGUCUGGUUUUGUUGGGACCUCAAGGUCAGUCAACAUAAGUUGUCUGCUGCAAUACAUGCUUGGUUGUUCAAUAAGUAACUCUGCUUGACUCUCACUUUUUCAAAAAUCACAAGCUGUAUUCUGCACUGGCAUGCUUUAUUAGUUGCCUUCACUGGAAGCAAGAUAUUCUUCAUCUUCUAGAGAAUGUUUCCUGUCCACUGCUUCAAUGGCUAUCAAAUAUGGGAAUGCAGGAUGAAAGAAAAACGACCAACUUCAACUUCUGUGGACUGAAAUUCUAAGUUGCUCAAGAAGUCAACUGCCAAUAAACAUUGGUUCUGCUUUACCCAAACUUCAUGAACCUCUGUUCAAAAAAACUCUCGAUCACCCAUACCCCUCCAUUUCAGAACCAACCAUCAACUUUUGGAAUUGUACAUUUGGUCAGCAAAUUAUUUUGGAUUUUCCCUCGAGUCUGCUUUGUGUCUUGGACAAGCUAUCCAGAAAUGGAAGAUUAAAACUCCAGAAGAGAAGCCUACUGUGUCUUCAAAAAUGUCAUUCUCAUGAAGAAGCCAAUGAUGCUCUAGAGGGAUGUAGGGACUCUCCAAAACAUAACUGGACCUCUAAGAGGGUGGAACUAGUGUUGGAUACACUAAAAGAAGCACCACCUCCUUUAAGUUUUAAAAAGAGGAGGUUAGAACUGACUGAGCAUCUCAAGGGAGUUAGGCGAGCACAGCAAGGAAGGGAAAGGGAUACUGGAGGACGUGGCCCAGGAAUUAGAAUUUACACUAGUGCAGAUUUUACACAAGGGCGUGAUGAUUCUCAAGAAAGCCAGGAGGAGAUAAGAAAUCCUGAAGCUAUAUUGCAGAUGUUAAGAAAAACUCUCUGACUGGCUUUGAAUGCUGCUUAUAGAUGGCAUUACACUCUUGAAUGCCUGAAUUAUAAUCGGGAGAAAUCUAUUUUAACUUGUCUUAACAUAAUUUUUAAUCGUAAAAAAUUAACUAAUUAUUAAAGUCUA